rnacentral:rRNA from 1 species
GUGGCUUAAUUUGACUCAACGCGGGAAAUCUUACCGGGUCCGGACACACUGAGGAUUGACAGGCGAUAUAACGAUUCUUAUUUCUUUUAAUAAGAUAUUCGUUAUUCAAAUAUGCUAGUCCUUUCAUGAUUAUGUGGUAGGUGGUGCAUGGCCGUUCUUAGUUCGUGGAGUGAUCUGUCUGCUUAAUUGCGUUUCACUAAGGUCCCAUAUACUAAAGGCAUGUCGACCUCUCUUUAGGAUUAAUUAAGGCUUGGACCCCUCUUAUUA